GGCAGUGUGGGGUAGUGGUUUGACUGUUGGACUGUGACUCUGGAGACCAGGGUUCGAUGCUCAGCUCAUCCA